CCUACGGGGGGCUGCAGUGAGGAAUAUUGGUCAAUGGGCGCGAGCCUGAACCAGCCAAGUAGCGUGAAGGAUGACUGUCCUACGGGUUGUAAACCUCUUUUAUCAAGGAAUAAAGUGAGGCACGCGUGCCUUUUUGUAUGUACUUUAUGAAAAAGCAUCGGCUAACUCCGUGCCAGCAGCCGCGGUAAUACGGAGGAUCCGAGCGUUAUCCGGAUUUAUUGGGUUUAAAGGGUGCGCAGGUGGGUUGUUAAGUCAGUUGUGAAAGUUUGCGGCUCAACCGUAAAAUUGCAAUUGAUACUGGCAUCCUUGAGUACAGUUGAAGUAUGCGGAAUGCGUGGUGUAGCGGUGAAAUGCAUAGAUAUCACGAAGAACUCCGAUUGCGAAGGCAGCAUACUAAA
rnacentral:rRNA from 1 species